UUAAGCGACUAAGCGUACACGGUGGAUGCCCUGGCAGUCAGAGGCGAUGAAGGACGUGCUAAUCUGCGAUAAGCGUCGGUAAGGUGAUAUGAACCGUUAUAACCGGCGAUUUCCGAAUGGGGAAACCCAGUGUGAUUCGUCACACUAUCAUUAACUGAAUCCAUAGGUUAAUGAGGCGAACCGGGGGAACUGAAACAUCUAAGUACCCCGAGGAAAAGAAAUCAACCGAGAUUCCCCCAGUAGCGGCGAGCGAACGGGGAGCAGCCCAGAGCCUGAAUCAGUGUGUGUGUUAGUGGAAGCGUCUGGAAAGGCGCGCGAUACAGGGUGACAGCCCCGUACACAAAAAUGCACAUACUGUGAGCUCGAUGAGUAGGGCGGGACACGUGGUAUCCUGUCUGAAUAUGGGGGGACCAUCCUCCAAGGCUAAAUACUCCUGACUGACCGAUAGUGAACCAGUACCGUGAGGGAAAGGCGAAAAGAACCCCGGCGAGGGGAGUGAAAAAGAACCUGAAACCGUGUACGUACAAGCAGUGGGAGCACAGAGCAAUCUGUGUGACUGCGUACCUUUUGUAUAAUGGGUCAGCGACUUAUAUUCUGUAGCAAGGUUAACCGAAUAGGGGAGCCGAAGGGAAACCGAGUCUUAACUGGGCGUUAAGUUGCAGGGUAUAGACCCGAAACCCGGUGAUCUAGCCAUGGGCAGGUUGAAGGUUGGGUAACACUAACUGGAGGACCGAACCGACUAAUGUUGAAAAAUUAGCGGAUGACUUGUGGCUGGGGGUGAAAGGCCAAUCAAACCGGGAGAUAGCUGGUUCUCCCCGAAAGCUAUUUAGGUAGCGCCUCGUGAAUUCAUCUCCGGGGGUAGAGCACUGUUUCGGCAAGGGGGUCAUCCCGACUUACCAACCCGAUGCAAACUGCGAAUACCGGAGAAUGUUAUCACGGGAGACACACGGCGGGUGCUAACGUCCGUCGUGAAGAGGGAAACAACCCAGACCGCCAGCUAAGGUCCCAAAGUCAUGGUUAAGUGGGAAACGAUGUGGGAAGGCCCAGACAGCCAGGAUGUUGGCUUAGAAGCAGCCAUCAUUUAAAGAAAGCGUAAUAGCUCACUGGUCGAGUCGGCCUGCGCGGAAGAUGUAACGGGGCUAAACCAUGCACCGAAGCUGCGGCAGCGACGCUUAUGCGUUGUUGGGUAGGGGAGCGUUCUGUAAGCCUGUGAAGGUGUGCUGUGAGGCAUGCUGGAGGUAUCAGAAGUGCGAAUGCUGACAUAAGUAACGAUAAAGCGGGUGAAAAGCCCGCUCGCCGGAAGACCAAGGGUUCCUGUCCAACGUUAAUCGGGGCAGGGUGAGUCGACCCCUAAGGCGAGGCCGAAAGGCGUAGUCGAUGGGAAACAGGUUAAUAUUCCUGUACUUGGUGUUACUGCGAAGGGGGGACGGAGAAGGCUAUGUUGGCCGGGCGACGGUUGUCCCGGUUUAAGCGUGUAGGCUGGUUUUCCAGGCAAAUCCGGAAAAUCAAGGCUGAGGCGUGAUGACGAGGCACUACGGUGCUGAAGCAACAAAUGCCCUGCUUCCAGGAAAAGCCUCUAAGCAUCAGGUAACAUCAAAUCGUACCCCAAACCGACACAGGUGGUCAGGUAGAGAAUACCAAGGCGCUUGAGAGAACUCGGGUGAAGGAACUAGGCAAAAUGGUGCCGUAACUUCGGGAGAAGGCACGCUGAUAUGUAGGUGAAGUCCCUCGCGGAUGGAGCUGAAAUCAGUCGAAGAUACCAGCUGGCUGCAACUGUUUAUUAAAAACACAGCACUGUGCAAACACGAAAGUGGACGUAUACGGUGUGACGCCUGCCCGGUGCCGGAAGGUUAAUUGAUGGGGUUAGCGCAAGCGAAGCUCUUGAUCGAAGCCCCGGUAAACGGCGGCCGUAACUAUAACGGUCCUAAGGUAGCGAAAUUCCUUGUCGGGUAAGUUCCGACCUGCACGAAUGGCGUAAUGAUGGCCAGGCUGUCUCCACCCGAGACUCAGUGAAAUUGAACUCGCUGUGAAGAUGCAGUGUACCCGCGGCAAGACGGAAAGACCCCGUGAACCUUUACUAUAGCUUGACACUGAACAUUGAGCCUUGAUGUGUAGGAUAGGUGGGAGGCUUUGAAGUGUGGACGCCAGUCUGCAUGGAGCCGACCUUGAAAUACCACCCUUUAAUGUUUGAUGUUCUAACGUGGACCCGUAAUCCGGGUUGCGGACAGUGUCUGGUGGGUAGUUUGACUGGGGCGGUCUCCUCCUAAAGAGUAACGGAGGAGCACGAAGGUUGGCUAAUCCUGGUCGGACAUCAGGAGGUUAGUGCAAUGGCAUAAGCCAGCUUGACUGCGAGCGUGACGGCGCGAGCAGGUGCGAAAGCAGGUCAUAGUGAUCCGGUGGUUCUGAAUGGAAGGGCCAUCGCUCAACGGAUAAAAGGUACUCCGGGGAUAACAGGCUGAUACCGCCCAAGAGUUCAUAUCGACGGCGGUGUUUGGCACCUCGAUGUCGGCUCAUCACAUCCUGGGGCUGAAGUAGGUCCCAAGGGUAUGGCUGUUCGCCAUUUAAAGUGGUACGCGAGCUGGGUUUAGAACGUCGUGAGACAGUUCGGUCCCUAUCUGCCGUGGGCGCUGGAGAACUGAGGGGGGCUGCUCCUAGUACGAGAGGACCGGAGUGGACGCAUCACUGGUGUUCGGGUUGUCAUGCCAAUGGCACUGCCCGGUAGCUAAAUGCGGAAGAGAUAAGUGCUGAAAGCAUCUAAGCACGAAACUUGCCCCGAGAUGAGUUCUCCCUGACUCCUUGAGAGUCCUGAAGGAACGUUGAAGACGACGACGUUGAUAGGCCGGGUGUGUAAGCGCAGCGAUGCGUUGAGCUAACCGGUACUAAUGAACCGUGAGGCUUAACCU
rnacentral:rRNA from 1 species